GGUGAUCUGGUAUCUGCUCAGGAAGUCCUGGGGAGGAAAGCACACUGUCACUCUUCUUUGGACGUGGGCGUGGCUUACCAGGGCGCUUCCCCGAGGCCUCUGUAGAAGAGAGCCAGGUCCAUGCACGGCUUGGCGCAGCCCUCAAGGGGGUGAGAACCACAGUCACCACUCAGCAUGGGCACAAAACUGCUCAGAGAGGACCUGCGUCAGGUUGGGAGGCCCUGAAGCACGUCCAGGACACAGCUUGAAAUCAAGCAAGAAGAGCAGUCUCCUCUCCCAGAGCCUAUGCUGCAAGGGCCCCAGGAGUCACUCAAACCUCGGCAAGGAGGACCAGUAACCAUCACACUUCCCAAAGCCUGGAAAUAGCGGAGAGAGCCAGGGACCAAGAACUUCUGCCAUGGACUGAUGCUCUGAGCAGACCCCGGUGCCUGGAGUUGGGAUCCAGGGUGUCUGCCACCUUCCCUGCCCCUGCAGUGGGGACAUUUACAAGGAGGCAACCUUAAGCUGAGUGAAGAAUGCUGCUGUUGGGAAGCGCAAGGACAAUGAGAGUAUGUGACAGGGACUCCUAAGCUGGCCUCUGGAUCAUAGAAGGUGACUCCAAACCAAGAAGGAAGAAUAUUCUUCAUCUGAAAA